rnacentral:rRNA from 1 species
AUGGUGUGCGCUCCAGAGAGGAUGACCAGGUCCUCCACGUCAAGGCCCUUGACGACAAAGCUGUCCACGAGGUCGCUGAGGUUGGAUGCGGGCGGGGCGAGGAACUUGAGCGGCUCGGAGGCGUUGGAGAAGGUGCCGUCGCGGCGGCCGGAUGGCACCUCGAAGUCCACCUUGCCGGCGCUGAGGAUGCAGGACGCGUCGCGGGCCGAAAAGGCGAUGAUGUCGGCGCAUGAGACAACGUCUGGGCAGGCCGCCUCGAGGGCAUCCUUGAUGGUGUCGAUCAGCUCGAAGCCGCGCAGGGAGGGGUUGUUGGGCGGGCUGAGCUUCUCUGGCGUCGGGCUGAACGGGGUCGGGUCCAGGAGGACCGAAGCAUCACAACCCUAG